GAAAAAAGUUUUAUUACAUUAGUGCUACUUGCAAAUCAAUGUUAUGGAGUUAUUUAUAGACUUGAUGAUGCUGAGUACGAACGUAUGCCGCCCUUGAUCCAACUCGACGACUAUGAAAACUGUUUCAACGAUGCCAACGCAUUGUACUGUACAUCCCAAUUCAAAUUAGUAUCAGAUACUUCCAGUGAACUUUAUAGUCUGAUAUCGAAUUAUUCCGAAUGGGAAAUAACGCAUUACGAUCAUACAAAAUUGUACCGAGGAAUUUGUGUAAGAAGAUCUUGUGGUGAAUAUAUUAAUAAAGAAUUAUUUUCAAAUAUAACAUACAUCGUUGAAGCUUGCGUGAAUAAAUCUUUAUGGAGAGACUACAGACUUAAAGCCACGUUGUUAAAUGCUCCUAGUUGUCGUUCAGCAGAUUAUAAAAUAGAAUUUGAUGAGAUGGAUAUAUUUGUAACAAUAUUAUGUACGUCCAUAUUUAUUAUCAACGUAGGUGGAACGUUGUAUGAUUUUUAUGCCAAAAAGAAAUCAAAGA